rnacentral:rRNA from 1 species
UACGUAGGGUGCGAGCGUUGUCCGGAAUUAUUGGGCGUAAAGGGCUCGUAGGCGGUUUGUUGCGUCGGGAGUGAAAACUCAGGGCUUAACCCUGAGCCUGCUUCCGAUACGGGCAGACUAGAGGUAUGCAGGGGAGAGCGGAAUUCCUGGUGUAGCGGUGAAAUGCGCAGAUAUCAGGGGGAACACCGGUGGCGAAGGCGGUUCUCUGGGCAUUACCUGACGCUGAGGAGCGAAAGUGUGGGGAGCGAACAGG